rnacentral:lncRNA from 1 species
GGAGUUCAAGACCAGGAUGGCCAACAUGGUGAAACCCCGUCUUUACUAAAAAUACAAAAAUUAGCUGGGUAUGGUGGCAUGCGCCUGUAGUCUCAGCUACUUGGGUGGCUGAGGCGGGAGAAUCGCUUGAACCCAGAAUGUGGAGGUUGCAGUGAGCCAAGAUUGUGCCACCGUACUCCAGCCUGGGCGACAGAGUAAGACUUCUUCCCCCAGCCUCCCCCCACCAAAAAAACUGUGGAGCUACCAUAUUCCUGGUAUUAUCUUCUGUUGAUUUAUUCAGAGAUAUCUAGUGUCUAUAUGCAAGCAAUAUAUUAGUUGCGAAGUGUCUAGGAACAGUGAAAGACACAAGUCUCCUGUUUACUUAGAUUAUGCAGACUAUUGUGAAAGAAAGGGACUGAAAGGAGUUCACUAUACCGUAAAGGUAGUGUGGCGCAAGGUGAAUGUGAGUCUGUAGGGUAAGGUGAGUCAGGAAGUGCCUUGUAGGUUGGAUGACCUUAUAAACUGGCAUGCUGGGGCCAGUGAAAGAGGGCACUAUUAAUAAUUGCACGAGAAGAGCAGGCAUAAGCUGCAACCAUCCCAGGCAAAUGGGAACGUAUGGUUACCCUAUGCAUGAGGGUAAGGAAUUUGCAUGCUCUUAAGAAGCAGUAAAUGAGAAACUGUAGAGAGUGUUUAAUCUAGAGAGCAAUAUAAUAAAAAUUUGCAUUGUGGAAGGCAGAGAAGGAUUGGAGCGGGCAAGAAGGGAGGCAUGGAGACCAGGGAAGGGCUGUUUCAGGGAUCCAGGCCUGGGAAGGAGACAGCGUGGAGCAGGUGAUGAUGGUGGAGAGGCUGAGUGGUGGGCAGAGCUGAGAAGUGCUUUGGAGACUCAGCUGACUGACAGGUGUCAGUGACUGUGAGGAUGUAGCCGAUGAGUAGGAAGGAGGAGUCAAGGUGAUACCCAGUUUCUGAGAAAGGGAGAGGUGCCAUUUGCUUGGAUGGAAAUGCAUGAGGAGGAGCAGCUAUGGGGUUGGGGACGUUGAUGAGUUCCAUUUUAGAUAUGUUGAGUUUCAGGUAUUGAUGCAAUAUAUUGAUACAAUAUAUUAAUUGUGUCAGUGUAUACAUACAGUAUAUGUAUGUAUACAUACAUAUAUGUAUGUAUACAUACAGUAUAUGUAUGUAUACAUACAGUAUAUGUAUGUAUACAUACAGUAUAUGUAUGUAUCAGUAUACACAUUAAUGGUGUAUUGAUACAAUAUAUUAUACAGUAGAAAUGUUUGGCAGGCAUUUUUUUCCUUUCUGUGUUAACCUCAACAUCAGCCUGCCCAUACCAAUGUUGUUAUUUAGGGCUUUUAAUCCCUGUGAAGAUCUUGAGCACCU